UACAGAGGGUGCGAGCGUUACUCGGAAUUACUGGGCGUAAAGCGUGCGUAGGCGGCUAUCUAAGUCGGGGGUGAAAGCCCCGGGCUCAACCUGGGAAUUGCAUUCGAGACUGAAUAGCUAGGGUACGGUAGAGGGGAGUGGAAUUUCCGGUGUAGCGGUGAAAUGCGUAGAUAUCGGAAGGAACAUCAGUGGCGAAGGCGACUCCCUGGACCAGUACCGACGUUCAGGCACGAAAGCGUGGGGAGCAAACAGG
rnacentral:rRNA from 1 species